rnacentral:snRNA from 1 species
ACAUAAGGGUGAUCUGGUUGCAGCGUCUGCCUCUCCAUUGUAGUUGAUCUGGCUGACUGGGUGGCUGUUUCUUUCCUCCCUCGGUAUUUCAUGUGUAUGUCUGUCAAAGCUUGGUCCUUGGCCAAAGAUGGCUCUCCCUGUAGAGAGGACUGUUCUCCUGUCAAGGGUACAUGAGUAUCUCUGCUCUACUGCUAGAACCUCCAAACAAACUCUCAGGAAUGGUGCUGGAGCCAGAGAGAGGGCUCAGCAGGUCAAAGGCCCUCAAUGCCAAGCCUGAUGAC